rnacentral:lncRNA from 10 species
GUGGAGAGUAGGGGUGGUUAAUGUGUACAGAAAUAUAGUUAGAUAGAAUGAAUAAAAUCUAGUAUUUGAUAGCACAACAGGGUGACUACAGUCAACAAUAAUUUACUGUACAUUUGAAAAUAACUGAGGAUAACUAGAAUGUUUGUAACACAAAGAAAUGAUAAAUGCCUGAGGUGAUGGAUACCCCAUUUACCCUGAUGUGAUUCCUACACAUUGUAUGCAUGUAUCAAAAUAUCUCAUGUACCCCAUAAAUAUAUACACCUUCAGUGUACCCAUAAAAAUUAAAAAUUAAAAAGUUUUAAAAAAUGGAAUCAUCAAGGAACCUGACUCUUUUCAUCCUUCAACUUUGUCAUCCUCAGUGGGCUUUUCAUAUUUUCUUUUCUUUUUUUUUUUUUUUUUUUGAGAUGGAGUCUUGCUCUGUCACCAAGGCUAGAGUGCAGUAGCGCAAUCUUGACUCACUGCAGCCUCACCUCCUAGUUCAAGUGAUCCUCCCACCUCAGCCUCCCAAGUAGCUGGGAUUACAGGCCAGGCUGGUCUUAAACUCCCACCCUCAACUGAUCUACUCACCUCAGCCUCCCAGAGUGCUGGAAUUACAGGAGUGAGCCACCACUUCCGGGCUCAUAUUUUCAUAGUUGCACUUGUUCCGUGGUUGCAAGAUAACUGCCACAUCACCAGGUUUAAAUCUUCACAUCAACAUCACAGACAGGAGGGGAUAAACUACUACUGUAUUCUUUUGGAGGAGGAAGGGAAAUGCCAGGUUUCCCUGAUGUCUCAUUAGCUACAACUCCUUCACAUGCCACCUCUGGACCAACCAUUCACAGAAGAGAAUGAGAUUAUUAUGAAUGGCCUAGACCAAUCAUAUCUCAUUCCUUGGGGCUAUGUUAGGAUCCCACAUUGCCUGAGGUUAGAGGACCUCUGCCCAUUGCAAAAUCUAGUUUCUGUUUGCAGGGAGGAAAGAUAUAAUGACUACUGAAUGGUCAACUCACAGAAAGACUUGUUACAUCUAUGAGAUCUAUUAUGUAUAAAAUCUGGAGAAAGUGUUUAAUUGCUGGUUGUUAGUUCAGGAUGGAUCGAUUGCACAGGAUUUUGAACUAAUGCAUAAACACCUUUUUUUUUUUUUUUUUUUUUUGAGAUAGGGCCUCACUCCCAUGGCCCAAGGUGGAGAGCAGUGGCGCGAUCCCAGCUUACUGCAGCCUUGACUUCCCAGGCUCAGGUGAUCCUGCCACCUCAGCCCCCGAGUAGCUGGGACUGCAAAUGCUUGCCACAAUGCUCAGCUAAUUUUUGCAUUUUUUGCACAGACAGGGUUUUGCCAUGUUGCCUAGGGAGGUCUCAAACUCCUGGGCUCAAGGUGAUUUGCUGCCUUGGCAUUCCAAAGUGCUGGGAUUAUAGGCACGAUCCACUGUGCCUGGCCAAGACCUGCUUUUUAAGACCUAAAAGACACCCUAAAAGAUAACAAAUGGAAUGCUCUAUCUAAGGAUGAUUCAGAGACUGAAAGCUUCCAGUAAAAUCAUGUGUAAGACUGCAACUAACAAAUGAUUGCCAGAAGUAGAUACUGAAGAGUGGAAUGAUUACUCCUACUUAAGUAGCUCACUCCCAUUAGAAAACCGACAUAUAAGUUCUCCCGAUGUCAUUUUUUAUAUUUUCCCCUAUCUACAUGUAUUUUUAUUACUUAUUUUCUCUUUAAUCCUAUUUCUGCAUGGAUUUCCCCCCUACUUUUCUUUGUCUACUAGACUAUGACUCAACCUCUACUUGUUCUAAUAUUAAAUACACAGCGCCACACAUUUGAUGCUUACAGUAGUUCAUUGGUAUUCUUCUGCACCUUCUUUAACCUCUUUCAAAUAUAUGCUCAAAUAAUUAGCUCUUCUCCCACUGAAGCUGAGUUAUCUCACUGAUUUAUAUCACCCAGGCUUCUAUCAUCUUCCUUCACCCAAGACGCACACUUUGGUUUUCUCUGUUCUCUCGCUGUCUUCAGAAAUAUUUGUGACUGAUAUUGUGCCUUUGUAAUCAUGCAGAAGCAAGUGUAGACAAACAAAACCAUAUUUUCUUCCUACACAAAACUAGUGCUAUGUAUUGAUCCUUCUCUCUGCUCACCUUGAACUCUUUCAUUCUAAUAAAUUCUAGUCUCUACUUUUACAUUCACACACUUUGACUCUGUAUCUUGUUUAUUUUCAUUUUAUUCUUUGCCUCUUUAUCUGUCCAGCUAAGGCAUAUAGAGAUGCUCAAGCAAAGAAUGCAUUAAAGCAUAAUUUAACUAGCUUCCAUGUGUCUAGCAGGUUCUAUGGGGAGAGGAAAGCGUUGGAACAUCUGGUAUAACUCACUUUUUUGCUUCUAGAGGUCAAAGGGGAUAGGACAGAAGAAUAGCUGUUUAGUAUUAGGUGUAAGGGAACCAAUAUAAGGUCAAGUGGAAAUAGCUCCUUUUCCUAGACGCUGUUUCUAACUGGAUUUAGGGAGAAAAUAAAAU